AAUGAUGUAACAUGGUAUAUUUUGGUCAGCAAUUUUUUAAAAAAAAGUGGCAAUGAGAGUAAAACUUCAUCCUAUUCUCAGUUUUAAUUCACUGGAAGGAAGCUUCUGAUCUUGGAAGACGAAUUUGCUUAGGCAUCGUGAAUUGAUCCCUUCCAGCUGCAUCCAAAUGGAAAAUAUUGUUCGUUGCAAUUUCACACUAUGAGUUGCCUGAUCCUUCUACUCCUGGCUACUUAAUGAUUGGUCUACUACAGGAGAUGAGUGUAUCACCAUGUGUUUACGAAAGGUUGGCGCCGCUCUAAAAGCUGAGUAGUUGAAGUUGAACAUAGAUGAUGAGUAUCUGAAGUUAAUACUGGUUUGUAGAUUAACUGAAUAUGGAUAUCAAGAGGGCCUUUCUAAAAUCUGGAUUACCGUUGGUUCAAUAUUCAUAGGGGUGCUGUCCAGCCAAGUCAAAUCAAUACAAUGUACUACUACUCCUCUAACUUGAUUUGAUUAGAAAACUCAA